ACCUCGGUUAGAAAGCUUUGUUUUAAUUUGUUAAGACGAUGCUGAUAUAUCCUGAAUCAUGAUUAAAUUAAAAUCCUUAAGUUAAAGUCAUUACAAAAACCACUUUUGAAUAUUGAUCAGAUAUUGGUCCCAUGCCCAAAACGAUGGUGCAAAAUGUCUAAAGAGUGAUAAGCUAGCAAUUACUAGAUAUAUACUAAAAGAAAUAGUUUCAGUUCCAAGCAUGAGCACUAGUCAUAGUUGAGGCUCACAAAUUUCUUGCAAAUCAUCUUCGAGUUUUCCACGUCCAGAGAUGGUCUCCUUCCUCCUGAUACACACACAAACAACUAAGUAUCUUCCAUCGUCUAAAAAUAAACAAAAGCAUACGUAAUUACCCAUUUCCUCCACCUUCUUAUUUAUAAUCAAGUUGAACAAUUUUCAAAUCAUCCAAGACACAAUCAUUUAUUAAAUAUUGAUAUAUGCAAUGACAAAAUAUCCAAAAGUAUUGACUUCAAUGACAUUCAAUUUUUGCUAUUUUU
rnacentral:sRNA from 1 species